CAGCCGAAUUAGUCAUGCAAAAUGGUUUCAGUUCUUUGCCUAUAGAAUCAGAAUUGAAUGAGAAUUCCAAUUCUCAAAAUUUAUGCAAGGGAUUUGAUUCAACUAACAAUUUUCCAUAAUCCAGUUCAUCUCUUCAAUAAUUGGACGACUGCAUUACAACAUGAAGUUUCAGAUUCAGUUACAGAUCCAAGAUCCAAAUUUUCUCAGGAGGAAUUUCAGACUACUGAACUAAAUUUUUCAACAGACAUUUCACCUUACUCUGAGUGUGAGUAGUCUGUGGUUGGUAUUUGUAUGCUAUGUCAAUUUGCAAAGAUAUAGUUGUGAUAUAAGGAGGUUAAAUUUGUAUUUUGUUAAGUUGCUUUAUCAUAUAUGGGCUAAAUUAUAUCUAGCAGUGGCCAUUUAAUAGGAGGGCCAAACUGAUAAUUGGGUCAAGCGGAAAAUUGAAGGCUAGGAUUCAUUGGGCUGGAUCCAAACUCCUCCUGAAAAUUUGGUAUUAUGGAACAUGGAUCCUCCGAUGUAGUAAACAAGUGUUUUACUAUUCAGCCAUCCUCCCAAUAGCAGUAGGAUGGAAAAUAGCAUGAAAUGAAAGAAGUGUAUAUUAGUGGUUUUUUGAUAAUGUUCAGAAGAAUUAUUGACUAUUAUUUUCAUGCAAAGAAUAUUAUAUUGAAAUUACAAAAUAAUAGCAGUUAUCAACUUGUAUUGAG
rnacentral:lncRNA from 1 species